rnacentral:tmRNA from 1 species
GGGGUAGUAAAGGUUUCGACAGGGAUGAUGAAGGUGGAGAAGCUAUCCGUAAGCAGUACGUCACACGCAAACCUAAAAUAAACGCUAACGAUAAUAGACAAUUAGCAGCUGCCUAAUUUAGGCGGCAAAAGUCGGUUUUUACCGACGGUCCUAUCUGAUAGCACCUACACUACUCAGAUUGCGAUCUCAUAAAACCUGUAGGAAACGAUAACGGUGAUGCAUCCUGGCCGUUAGGCGUAUUAAGGAUGAUACACGGUAUAUGUUUGUUGCUUUCCUAUAUAUCGUGAAAAUUCGAGAGUAACUAUGAUAGUAGAAGUACACGCGAAUUUGUCUUUGGACACGAGUUCGACUCUCGUCUACUCCACU